rnacentral:misc_RNA from 1 species
UACGUAGGGUGCAAGCGUUGUCCGGAAUUAUUGGGCGUAAAGAGAACGUAGGCGGUUUGUUAAGUCUGUUCUUAAAGACCAGGGCUCGACCCUGGGAAUGGAAUGGAAACUGGCAGACUCGAGGACGUCAGAGGAAGGUGGAAUUCCCAGUGUAGCGGUGAAAUGCGUAGAUAUUGGGAGGAACACCAGUGGCGAAAGCGACCUUCUGGGACGAUCCUGACGCUGAGGUUCGAAAGCUCGGGUCACGAACCGG